UCGUCUUCCUCCUGCUGACCUCUCGACCUGGCCGACCUAAAGAUCUUCUCUGAUCCACCGCCGCCUCCUCACUACCCCGCCUUGCCUUAGCGCCAGCCAGGGCAGACGCUUCAAUCCCUCACCAAACCCCCUUGUCUCUCUCUCCUUCGCCCACUUAAUCUGGUGCUCGAUCUCGAAAUCCUCCGCCCAUCGGAGUCGACACCAACGGCGGCGCUGCUGCUCGAGGACCCUGUGUCUGAGCCCCCUCCACUCGCACCAUGUGCCUUCGCCUCACCGUGCGCCUCUGCAGGCCAUCGCUCCCACCACCGCCUUCCCCACCGUGUGCACCCGGACGACGCCCUCGGACCCUCUGCAGGCGCCCACCAUCAUGUUGGCUCCAAACCCUGACAGCGCCCUGACUAGGUGUCCUCUCUAGAACGGGCGAUCGGCAAGGAUGUCGGUGAUGCACGGGGUGCGGUCAAGAACUUCCAGGUUGAGCUGGUUGCGGUCGUCCCGCCGGCAGACCAUCUUGUCGUUGUAGUGCUGCUCUUUGUGAUAGGGCAUGAGCAGGAUGUCUGCACGAACCUCGUCCGGACAGCGUCGGAUGGUCUUCAGGAAUCUCGUGGCUGCAGUAUAGGUGCACAUCUUUCUCCCUGCGAUACAGCUAGAUGAAUACUGUCCUUACCGGUUUAUUUCGUGAGAGGGUAAAAUAUAUCUGCACAUUAUUUACAAGCGUAUCAUUUUACCCGUCUCCCAAGUGCGCCCUUACCCAUGAUGGUAAUGGCCACGGUGACGAGCUUCCUCUCUAUUCAGGAUGAUGGAUUCACGCACACCAUCAUGAUUAAAACUGUGUGCCUCUCCAUCGCCACAACCAAUUUCCCUUCCUAAGGUUGUCUGUAAUUUCACAUUGAUCAAUUUGUCAGGAGCAGGCCCACAUGUAGCAAGGAGCAAGCUGCACAAGAAAUUUCUUGGAAUCAAGAUACUCACCUUGAAUUUAAUAGUAAGGGGUUGAGCCUUGGACAUACUAGAACAAGAACAAUUUAUUAUCAAGAUAUCAGCUGUGCAAAUCUGCAACGAGAUCAUCAAGGAUCUUCUAUGACCUGACUCUGGCCCCCUUCGCUUGUUAGAUGAUCCUGAGGUUUGCAAUUUUGUCCAUGCGCGGGCACGCACAAAUACACAUGAUUAAAGAGAAAGGAAACAUCAUGGAUAAGUUGGAUGAAUGAAUCACCAAGGACAGCCAGUAUUUAAGGCAUCUAAUAGCCGUUUGUGAAGGCACUGCUACAUAUGUAUGUAUGUAUAUAUAGCCUACCAUCCGAGAAAGAAGAAGAUGUGUAGUGAUAGUUACCCAAUGACCUUCCAAAUAACUGCAGAACAAAGACAGGUUGGGGAAACUGAACUAAACGCAAGUUUACGUUCCCACCAAAUCAUUUGGCUGAUUGUGGAGAGUAUGCUCCAUAAAGCGCCGCACUGUGUUAUAUCUUUUGCUGCUAACUUGAAUUUUGUCGACCUUGUUGGAAGCGAGCAUGCUGCACAAACACAUGCUGUUGGUGCUAGGUUGAAAGAAGGCGCCAUAUUAAUCGCAGCUUGUUGACUUUGAC